rnacentral:rRNA from 1 species
GGCCAGACUCCUACGGGAGGCAGCAGUGGGGAAUAUUGGGCAAUGGGCGAAAGCCUGACCCAGCAACGCCGCGUGAAGGAAGAAGGCUUUCGGGUUGUAAACUUCUUUUGACAGGGAAGAGCAGAAGACGGUACCUGUCGAAUAAGCCACGGCUAACUACGUGCCAGCAGCCGCGGUAAUACGUAGGUGGCAAGCGUUAUCCGGAUUUACUGGGUGUAAAGGGCGUGUAGGCGGGACUGCAAGUCAGAUGUGAAAACCAUGGGCUCAACCUGUGGCCUGCAUUUGAAACUGUAGUUCUUGAGUACUGGAGAGGCAGACGGAAUUCCUAGUGUAGCGGUGAAAUGCGUGGAUAUUAGGAGGAACACCAGUGGCGAAGGCGGCCUGCUGGACGACAACUGACGGUGAGGCGCGAAAGCGUGGGGAGCAAACAGGAUUAGAUACCCGAGUA